CACGUUUCUCGCUCUUUUCCCCUCAUGUUUUCUAGUCUUUUCCCCUCACAUUUCCCACCCUUUUCCUCUCACGUUUUCUACUCUUUUCACCUCACAUUUCCCACCCUUUUCCCCUCACAUUUCCCACCCUUUUUCCUUCACGGUUCCCACUCUUUUCCUCUCACAUUUUCUACCCUUUUCCCUUCAUGUUUCCCACUCUUUUCUCCUCUCACGAUUCCCAUUUCUCCUCACCUUUUCUGCCUUUUCUCCCCUCACGUUUUCCCGCUCUUUUCUCCCCUCACGUUUCCCACCCCUCAACCCUUUUAUGUGCUGGGUCGCUCUUUGCUUCCUCCACAAACGCCACCAUCUCUUUCUUGAGGGGUCGUUGUUGUCCCCCCACUCUUUUUUGGGGUGUCUUUGAUGUCCCAAAUCAAUUUUUUUUAUCUUCUUUUCUUUUUUCUUCUCCCGCUCUUUUUCUCCCCUCACGUUUCCCGCUCUUUUCCCCUCAUGCUUUCUACUCUUUUCCCCUCACAUUUCCCACCCUUUUUCCCUCACAUUUCCCACCCUUUUUCCUUCACGGUUCCCACUCUUUUCCUCUCACAUUUUCUACCCUUUUCCCUUCAUGUUUCUCACUCUUGUCUCCUCUCACGAUUCCCGUUUCUCCUCACCUUUUCCGCCUUUUCUCCCCUCACGUAUUCCCGCUCUUUUCUCCCCUCACGUUUCCCGCUCUUUUCUCCCCUCACAUUUCCCACUCUUUUCUCCCCUCACAUUUCCCACCCUUUUCCCCUCAUGUUUUCUACUCUUUUCCCCUCACAUUUCCCACCCUUUUCCCUUCAUGUUUCCCACUCUUUCUCCUCUCGUGAUUCCCGUCCUGUUUCUCCUCACCUUUUCCACCUUUUUCCCCUCAAGUUUUCCCGCCCUUUUCUCCCCUCACGUAUUCCCGCCCUUUUCCCCUCACAUUUUCUACUCUUUUCACCUCACACUUUCCACCCUUUUUCCCUCACAUUUCCCACCCUUUUUCCUUCACGGUUCCCACUCUUUUCCUCUCACAUUUUCUACCCUUUUUCCUUCAUGUUUCCCACUCUUUUCUCCUCUCACGAUUCCCAUUUCUCCUCACCUUUUCCGCCUUUUCUCCCCUCACGUUUCCCGCUCUUUUCUCCCCUCACAUUUCCCGCUCUUUUCUCCCCUCACGUUUCCCGCUCUUUUCUCCCCUCACAUUUUCCCGCUCUUUUCUCCCCUCACAUUUCCCACCCCUCUACCCUUUUAUGUGCUGGGUCGCUCUUUGCUUCCUCCACAAACGCCACCAUCUCUUUCUUGAGGGGUCGUUGUUGUCCCCCCACUCUUUCUUGGGCUGGGGGGCUCGGCCCCUGUUCCUGGGGCUCCCCCAUUCCUGCCCAAGCAGCCGGGGACCCUCCCCGUCACCUCGGGGGUUCAGCCGCAGGUGAGCCCAGGCCUGGCUCAGGUCGGGAUCAUGGAGGAGCAGCAGCGGCAGCAGAGCCUGUUACAGCUCCGAGCCCAACAACAGCAACAAGCACAACCCCCCCCUGCUCCCCNNNNNNNNNNNNNNNNNNNNNNNNNNNNNNNNNNNNNNNNNNNNNNNNNNACCUCACAUUCCCCCCUUUUCCCCUGGCAUUUCCCACUCUUUUCUCCCCUCACGUUUCCCGCUCUUUUCUCCCCUUUUUCCCCCCCUCACAUUCCCACUUGAGGUACUUUUUAUGGGAUUUGGGGUGAUUUUUGUGGGAUUUGGGGUGGUUUCUGUGGGAUUUGGAGUGGUUUUUGUAGGAUUUGGGUGGUUUUUGAGGGAUUUGGGGUGAUUUUUGUGGGAUUUGGGGUGGUUUCUGUAGGAUUUGGAUGGGUUUUGAGGGAUUUGGGGUGAUUUUUGUGGGAUUUGGGGUAGGUUUUGUGUGAUUUUGGGUGUUUUUUGGGGGAUUGUGGGUGGUUUUUGGGGGAUAUGGGAUGGUUUUUGUGGUAAAAACCCUGGAUGGGUUUUUUCACAUAUCCUGCCUUUUUCUCCCCUCACGUUUCGCCCCCUUUUCCCCUCACAUUUUCUACUCUUUUCACCUCACAUUCCCCCCUUUUCCCC
ensembl:lncRNA